rnacentral:rRNA from 1 species
CUCAGAGCGAACGCUGGCGGCAGGCCUAACACAUGCAAGUCGAGCGGCCGUAGCAAUACGGCAGCGGCAGACGGGAGAGUAACACGUGGGAACGUGCCCUUUGGUUCGGAACAACACAGGGAAACUUGUGCUAAUACCGGAUACGCCCUUACGGGGAAAGAUUUAUCGCCAAAGGAUCGGCCCGCGUCUGAUUAGCUAGUUGGUGGGGUAACGGCCCACCAAGGCGACGAUCAGUAGCUGGUCUGAGAGGAUGAUCAGCCUCACUGGGACUGAGACACGGCCCAGACUCCUACGGGAGGCAGCAGUGGGGAAUAUUGGACAAUGGGCGCAAGCCUGAUCCAGCCAUGCCGCGUGGAUGAUGAAGGCCCUAGGGUUGUAAAGUCCUUUCGGCGGGGAAGAUAAUGACGGUACCCGCAGAAGAAGCCCCGGCUAACUUCGUGCCAGCAGCCGCGGUAAUACGAAGGGGGCUAGCGUUGCUCGGAAUCACUGGGCGUAAAGCGCACGUAGGCGGCUUUCUAAGUCAGGGGUGAAAUCCUGGAGCUCAACUCCA